GUUGUAAGCUCUGAGCCGGACAAAGAUGCUAGCUGAAAGCAGAUAUAGUAUCUACUACCUCUGUACCAAAAUACUUGUAGUUGGGGGAACUUGUACUAGUUUCCUCCAACUACAAGUAUUUUGGUCGGAGGGAGUAUCUAUCUAUUCAAUGCAAGGAUGAAGAGUUUACACAAGGAUAUGUACUUCUACUUCCGAUGGUGAUAAUAAGCAGCAAGGUGAAAUCCACACGGAGGAAAUAGUUGGACUCCCAGAACAUUUUUCUGUAUUCUAAAGUUUUGUCCUCGACCAUUAGGGAUAUUUUUUUUUUUGCUGGGUUACAUUUGUAUCAGUUGUAUGCAUGUGUUGUUGUACCUGAAACCCUGAUGCAAUCAUCAAAUAAUUUGUACGUUGGAUUCAAGCAUC
rnacentral:lncRNA from 1 species